UUCUGCUUUCCUUAGUUUGUU
rnacentral:piRNA from 1 species